UGGCGAACGGGUGAGUAAUACAUCGGAACGUGUCCGCUCGUGGGGGACAACCAGCCGAAAGGUUGGCUAAUACCGCAUGAGUUCUACGGAAGAAAGAGGGGGACCCGCAAGGGCCUCUCGCGAGCGGAGCGGCCGAUGACUGAUUAGCCUGUUGGUGAGGUAACGGCCCACCAAAGCAACGAUCAGUAGCUGGUCUGAGAGGACGACCAGCCACACUGGGACUGAGACACGGCCCAGACUCCUACGGGAGGCAGCAG
rnacentral:rRNA from 1 species